rnacentral:other from 1 species
GAUGCUCUGGGGGCUCGCUUUUAAAACAGUGGACCCUAUGUCAUAUGGAUCGGGAGCUGUACCUCUGCAGCGGUGUGCAUGCCUAGUUUACUAGGAAGCCUAAAACUGCGAAACGGCGCCCACUUGAAUUUCGGGUUCCAUCUGGCUUAAGCGACCCCCAGAGCACUU